rnacentral:rRNA from 1 species
UACAGAGGUCUCAAGCGUUGUUCGGAUUCAUUGGGCGUAAAGGGUGCGUAGGCGGCGCGGUAAGUCGGGUGUGAAAUCUCGGGGCUUAACUCCGAAACUGCAUUCGAUACUGCCGUGCUUGAGGACUGGAGAGGAGACUGGAAUUUACGGUGUAGCGGUGAAAUGCGUAGAUAUCGUGAGGAAGACCAGUGGCGAAGGCGGAUCUCUGGACAAAUCCUGACGCUGAGGCGCGAAGGCUAGGGGAGCAAACGGG